GCUAUGCUCUUCUAAUGGUUAGGAAACCAGUUUGUGGAGCUGGCACCAACACUGGAGACCAAGGUUCGAUUCCUUGACAAGGCA